rnacentral:misc_RNA from 1 species
CCCGGGGACGACCCAAGGGCACCUUUAAAAAGCCAAGACCCACGGAGGAAAAGCCCAAAGGAUCACGAGGAAGACCCCGUAAGGAUGCAGAAUCUCCCAAAAAGACAGAAAAGAAGAGUUAAUCUGUGGUGUCAGCUCGCGUUCCUUUGGCCUGGACAAUUGACCGUGUGUUGAUCAAAAACUGAAAUAUGUAAAUGUGUUCAAAUGUAUAAGAGCCGUGUAGUUUAGAUUUUUUUAAAAUUGACUUUCCAUUUCACCCCUGAUCAUUGCUUCAGUCAUUACAUAUAUUGUAUAACCUUUGCCUCAUGCUUCAUUUCCCAUGUAACGCCUCUCAUUAAUGUAACCUCAUGACGUCAUCUUCAUUAAUAAAUCACGCAUGUAUUCAUCUCCAUCAAUAUAUUGUUGUUUUAUUUUGUUUGUUGAUUGUUCUUAAAUCACUAGUAUGCAGACAAGAACUGAAAAUGCGGUGCAAAAUAGUUUUCUGGUUUUUUUCAACAGAGAUUAGGUGUUUUUCCUCCUAUUGUGUUCAAAAUAAUCCCAGGGUCUGUCAGUGCACAUAGACCCAGUUUUUAUUAACAAUUUAAAUUAUUAAACAUAUUCAGAAAU